AGUUUUAUGAAGGCACUGUUAAGUCAUAUGACCCUAUAAAAAGGAAACAUGUGAUAUUGUAUGAUGAUGGAGAUAUAGAAGUACUCCGUUUAGAAAAAGAGCGUUGGGAGCUUGCUGACAAUGGUCGCAAAUCUAUGAAGAAGUCAAACUCAUUGAAGCAUCCUCGCUCAACUAAAGUAUCACCUGCAAAGAAAAGUAGAAGUCCGGGUAACAUACAUCAGAACAAGAAAUCAGAAAAGAUUGUUAAAGGAAAAAGAACUCCUAAGAAAAACUCAAAGCGUGUAAAUAAAGAGCCUGAGGUUAAAGAUGACUUUGAUGUAUCAAAUGCUGAACCCACUGGGGAAUCUAAAGGAGACAAGGAAAAACAAGGUGGUUCUCAUGGGGAACGUGAUGAAAGGGUGACAGAG
rnacentral:misc_RNA from 1 species